rnacentral:rRNA from 1 species
AUGGCUCAGGAUGAACGCUAGCUACAGGCUUAACACAUGCAAGUCGUGGGGCAGCAGUGGUCUUAGCUUGCUAAGACUGAUGGCGACCGGCGCACGGGUGAGUAACGCGUAUCCAACCUUCCCCUUAGUAGGGCAUAGCCCGGCGAAAGUCGGAUUAAUACCCUAUGUUGUUCGUUGAGGACAUCUGAAGUGAACCAAAGAUUUAUCGCUAAGGGAUGGGGAUGCGUCUGAUUAGGUAGUAGGCGGGGUAACGGCCCACCUAGCCUUCGAUCAGUAGGGGUUCUGAGAGGAAGGUCCCCCACAUUGGAACUGAGACACGGUCCAAACUCCUACGGGAGGCAGCAGUGAGGAAUAUUGGUCAAUGGCCGAGAGGCUGAACCAGCCAAGUAGCGUGCAGGAUGACGGCCCUAUGGGUUGUAAACUGCUUUUAUGCGGGGAUAAAGUGCGCCACGUGUGGUGUUUUGUAGGUACCGCAUGAAUAAGGACCGGCUAAUUCCGUGCCAGCCGCCGC